AUUGCACAAUGGGCGCAAGCCUGAUGCAGCGACGCCGCGUGGAGGAUGAAGGCUUUCGGGUCGUAAACUCCUGUCUGGGGGGAUGAAUACUGACAGUACCACCGGAGGAAGCCCCGGCUAACUACGUGCCAGCAGCCGCGGUAAUACGUAGGGGGCAAGCGUUGUCCGGAAUUAUUGGGCGUAAAGGGUGCGUAGGCGGCCCUUUAAGUCAGAUGUGAAAGCCCACGGCUUAACCGUGGGACUGCAUUUGAAACUGGAGGGCUUGAGUGUCGGAGAGGGCAGUGGAAUUCCCAGUGUAGCGGUGGAAUGCGUAGAUAUUGGGAGGAACACCAGUGGCGAAGGCGACUGCCUGGACGAUAACUGACGCUGAGGCACGAAAGCUAGGGGAGCAAAC
rnacentral:rRNA from 1 species